GCGAGUGUGCUGGAAUAGGCAGACAGGCACGUUUGAGGGGCGUGUGUCGCAGGACGUAUGGGUUCAAGUCCCAUCACUCGCACCA
rnacentral:tRNA from 2 species